GUUAUUAUUAAGGUGUUGUAUAGAGAGGCUACCAUUUUGAAAGUCCAGUAAUGUGUACGUUUCGUUUUUGGACAAUGUUACCCCUUCCUCUGCUUUCCCCUAGCCUCCCCCUCUCAUCCCUGCCUACAAGUUCCACAUGGUGUAUACUGAAUUUCAAGACUGCAUUCGCUCAUUCUUCUUCCCUCCCUUUCUGUACCUUCCCUUUGCCUCACCCCCCCCAAAACUAAAACAAAUACCAUCACCACCUGGUUCUUCUUUUGAAGGAUUAUAUAGUCUAGUGGAAAACACAAUAAAUAAUGCUUGCGGCUGAGUAUUGGCUCACACCUGUAAUCCUAG